rnacentral:lncRNA from 1 species
UGGUUAAGUUGUUUGCCAUCUCAGCCACAGCCUUGUUGAUUUUCGCAACCUCCUCAUCCUUGGAAAAUCCCUUGAAAUCAUGGACAAACCUUUUGAGUGUCUUCUUUUAGGUGCCAUUCAUACCUCCUCGGUGACAUCACCCCAAGCCCAAGCAAGGUUCUUGAUGCAGUCACAGAUGUUGUAAUCCUUCCAGAACUGCGUCAGUGUCUUCUCAGUGUCUUCCUCCGUCGCAGCAAUAGCCUGGGCAAAGGUCCUCCACAGGCAGUGGGCCUUAAAAGCUGCUAUAAGUCCUUGAUCCAUUGGUUGGAUCAAAGAGAUCAUGUUUGGAGGGAGAAACACCGUUUUGAUAUUGGGAUGAAGAUCACCAAUAAAAGGAGGAGGUCCAGGGGCAUUGGCAACAGUAAGCAAAAUCUUGAAAGGUCAAUCACUCAACAUGGCCUCUUCCUGGCAACAAUAGCAGUAGAUUUUAGGGGCCAUAUGAACAAAAUAACCUGAGAUUAAAUCAAGCACAAGAGGAAACAAUGCCAUCAAGAGAUUCAGUAAACAAGAGAUGUAUGAGGCUCCUGGCAGCAUAAGAUGGCACAUUGUUUAACUUUUUUUUUUUAUUUUUUGGUGAGGAAGAUUGGCCCUGAGGUAACAUAUGUUGCCACUCUUCCUCUUUUUGCUUGUGGAAGAUUGUCACUGAGCUAACACCUGUGUCCACCUUCCUCUAUUUUGUAUGUGCAAUGCUGCCAUAACAUGGCUUGAUGAGUGGUGUGUAGGUCCAUGCCCGGGAUCUGAACCUGUGAAUCCUGGGCCACCAAAGCAGAGCGCAUGAACUUAACCACUAUGCCACCAGGCCAGCCCCUGUUUCACUUUUUACGAUAAAAAGUAUAGUAUAGUAAAUACAUAAACCAGUAACCUAGUCGUUUAUUAUCAUUAUCAAGUAUUAUGUACUGUACAUAAAUGUAUGUGCUAUACUUGUGUGUGACUGGC